rnacentral:rRNA from 1 species
AUGGCUGUGAGAAUCCUCUCAUUGACAUCAAGUUCUUCAGUCUGUGAAAGGAAUUGGAGUACCUUCGAAAAUAUACAUACGAAGAAAAGAAAUAGGCUAACUACAGAACGUCUAAACUCUCUUGUGUUCAUACAAUUCAACUCGAGAAUGAUGGCCAAGAAACAAAUGAUCAAGGAGAAGAAGAUCACUGAUGUCCUCUUAUCCGCUGAAACUACUGAAGCUCAAGGUUUUCUUUUUGAGGGCGGAGAUGAUUAUGCAGAAGUCAUCUAUAUGGAUAAAGAUGAGGAGGAGAUGAAUAGUACAGGGAUGCCAGGGAGUGGCAUUGGAGAAGCAAUGGGAGGCGAUGAACUGCUCGAGCCACGUAGAAGUGCGAGACCAAAACAACUUUAUGAAGAAGAAGAAUUUGAUUCUGAAGAAGAAUUUGAUUCUGAAGAAGAGGAGUUUGAUGAUGAGGAGGAGAUGCAUUCAGAUGAGGAGAAUGGCUAUUGA